rnacentral:rRNA from 1 species
AGAGGAUAGCCCCAGCGAAAGUUGGGGUAAAACUUUAUGGGUGUCCCGACUUGUCGGGACUAAAGAGGCUUAACCGGUUCGUUAAGGGAUGGGCCUGUAUCCUAUCAGGUAGUUGGGAGGUAACGGGCUCACCAAGCCUAUGACGGGUAGCUGAUCUUAGAGGAUGAUCAGCCAGAGGGGGAUUGAGACACGGCCCCCACUCCUACGGAGGCAGCAAUCAGGAAUAGUCGGCAAUGGACGAAAGUCUGACCGCGCGACGCCGCGUGUAGGAAUAAGCUUUUCGGAGUGUAAACUACUGUGGUAGGGGAAGAAGGUGACCCGCAAGGUUCAUUUGACGGUACCCUGCUAGAAAGGAGCCGCUAACUGCGUGCCAGAAGCGUCGGUAAUACGUGGGCUCCAAGCAUUAUCCGGUUUUAUUGGGCGUAAAGGGUCGUGUAGGCGGUUUGAUAAGUUAUCUUUGAAAUUCCAAUGCUUAACAUUGGAAUUGGGGAUAAAACUAUCAAACUAGAGUUUUCUUUAGGGGGAUUGGAACUGAAGGAGGAGUAGUGAAAUGCGUUGAUACCUUCGGGAACACCAAUGGCGAAGGCAGAUCCCUGGGAGAAAACUGACGCUGAGACACGAAAGCUAGGGGAGCGAAGCAGAUUAGAGACCUGCGUAGUCCUAGCCCUAAACGAAUGUCUGCUACCUGCAUGUCGUACCUUCGGGUAUAACGUGUGGGAAAGGUAACCCGUUAAGCAGACCGCCUGGGGAGUACGACCGCAAGGUUAAAACUCAAAGGAAUUGGCGGGGAGGCACACAACCAGUGGAACAUGUGGUUCAAUUCGAUACGAACCGAAGAACCUCACCAAGGUUUGACAUGCUAGCGUCCAGCUCUGUGGAAACAUGGAGUGUUCGCAAGAAGGCUAGCACAGGUGCUGCAUGGCUGUCGUCAGCUCGUUCCGUGAGGAGUGCCCUUAAGUGGGACAACGAGCGCAACCCCUAUCUUGUGUUAAAUCUGUCACAAGAAACGGUCCCGACUUUGUCGGGAAGGAAGGAGGGGCAGACGUCAAGUCAGCAUGGUCCUUAUACCUUGGGCUACACACAUGUUACAAUGAAGGGAACAAUGUGUCUUGCCACGUCGUAAGACGGAGCAAAUCACUUAAAUCCAUUCUCAGUGGGGAUUGGGGUCUGCAACUCGACCCCAUGAACGCGGAAUUGGUAGUAAUCGGGGUCAGUCAUACCACGGUGAAAACGUUCUGC